CCAGCCGCCUGGAGUGGGGCUGGCCCUGUCAAGCGGGCGUCAGGAACGCGGCACGGACUUGGCGCCACCUUGUAUCCAUGUUGCUCAACGGAGGAUGUGGCUAUGAGAC
rnacentral:sRNA from 1 species